CAAAAAUGGUAAGAGCAUCUUCAGCUAUAGUGAGGAGGAACCAGGCCACCAGGGCUGCAGCUUUAUACACUAAGGGGCCGUUCUUACUAAAGAGAUCUUUGUAAGAAAAUUGGCAAUUAAUGAGUCAGAAACCGCUUAUGAUUUCCUACUGUAGAAAUGCACCAAAUGACUUGCCACAAACUUGAACUCACAAUACUUGUUCAUUCAGAUCACUUCUCUGAUUCAAUAAAAAUUGUAAUUCAACUUUACAAAGCAUUAGCUAUUCAGCCCAUUUUGCUGCCAGCAUAGAACCUUUUUCCUUAGGUCUCAGGAAGGCCAGGAACCAUCUAGGUCAAUAGUUAUCAACCUGGUAAGCAUUUCCAAGUUAUAUAGCCUUCCCUUCUUAGUGAUACUUCACUUGGGGAAGAAUACAAGAAUGGAUCACAGAGAUUCCAGGUGGGAGAAACAGGCAUUCUACCUAAUGUUAUAGGAUCCUCAGAUGACUAAUAUGCAAGAUCUCUUAUGCCAUUCUCACCAGUUUCCCUGCUUGUUGAAAACACUAAGCUAGUCAUCCCCUGCUGUGGCCAAAGACCUGAACCUAGACUGUCUAACAUCUAACCCAGUAAACCUCUCUGUGCUUUCAUUUCCUGGCUUGUAAAAUAUGGGUAAUAGAAUAUAUUCAUAACAUUAUAGAGAGGUAACUAAUUAACAUAAACAAAGUACAGAUGGCCUGACUUAUGAUGGUUUGACUUAGGAUUUUUCAACUUGGUUAUAGUGCAAAAGUGAUAUGCAUUCAGUAAAACUGUACUUUGAAUUUUGACCUUUUCCUAAACUACCAGUAUGCAGUACAAUACUGUCUUGCCAUGCUGUGCAGCAGCAGUGAGCCACAGCUCCCAGCUAUGUGAUCUGAGUAUAUUUAAGGUAGGCGAGGCUCAGAUAUGAUGUUCAGUAUGUUAGGUCUAUUACAUGCACUUGCAACUUACAACAUGUUGAACUUACAUCAGGAUGUAACACCAUUGUAAGUUGAGAAGCAUCUGUACUUCGAACGGCAUCUGACACAUAGAAAGUUUGUUGUUGUUGUUGUCAUUAUUAUUUUAUAGUGAGAAACUGAGGGCUGGAUAGACCAAAUGACUUAUCUUACUUAACUAAGGGUUCAGAAUAGAAUGCAGAUUACCUAAGUUGAAAUCUAGUGCUUUUUCAUGACACCAGUUGACUCUCAAACUGAAGUUAAUACAUGUGUUUCUCAUUUUCUUAGCCUGUUUGUAUCUACCCGAAGUUAUGCAUUUAAAAGGAUCUUCACCAACAUUACUGGGAGGCAGUAAUUAUUUAACUAAUUUAAGAAAUUUAAACCAUUUUAGUUUGUACCUCAUAAUAUUUUAGGAUUUUUUCCCUCAACAGAACAAUCGAGAACAUUAAAAGAGAGCAAGCUCCACGUCACUCAACUGAUGCUACCACCCAGGACAGAAAUCAGCAGUUUCUGUUUUUCUACUGACCAGCUUUGCAUUAAACACUGCAAAUGGGAGAGCUAGUCCACUGAACUCAUAGAGCACAGGAUUGAAUUGGAAGAAUGAAGCUGGAGCUCCACGAUGCACACUGGAAGAGAGGAGGUUGUGUUAAGGUGGCGGUAAAAGGAGAAAUACACCAAUGGUGCUGGGCUGUGGCAAAGCAGCAGGAAAACUCUGUGCACACCUAGCCCCUCAAACAGGAACCACUCAGCCCAGCAAUACUUAAUAAUACACCCAAGAUUGUUUCCUUUAGUUCAUUUGGGUUCAAGAUAUAAUAUAUUAAGUACCUCUUGCCCCCUUCCUUGUUAUUUAUGUGAUGGUCGGUUUUAUGUGUUAACUUGGCUAGGCUGUAGUGAUCAACUAUCCAAUGACACAUUACUCUAGGUGUUGCUGUAAAAGUAUUUUGUAGGUAUGCUUGAUGUCUACAAUCAGUUGGCUUUAUGUAAAGGAGUUGAUCCUGGAUGAUCUGGGUGAGCCUGUUCUAAUCAGUUCAAAAGUCUUAAGAACAGAACUGAUGUUUCCCUGAGGAAGAAAAAAUCUCCCCUGUGGAUUGUGGCAUCAGCUCCUGCCCAAGUCUUUCCAAAUUGUCCUUCUGAUGGCCUACCCUGUGGAUUUUGGACUUGCCUAGUUAGCCCUCACAAUCACAUUACGAUCCCUUGCAACAAAUCGAACUCUCCUGUCUCUCUUCACUCACACAUGCGUGCAUGCGCGCGCGCGCACACACACACACACACACACACACACACACACACACACCCCAACUUGUUCAAUUUCUCUGGUGGUACCCUGACUGUUAAACUUGUCAAGUACCUGUGCAGUGAUUUGCUCAGCUAAGUGAAUAUGUUAUGGGUUGAUUUGUCAUAAUCCCCUCAAAAUCCGUAAGUUGAAUCCUUAACCUCCAGUACCUCAGAAUAUAACCUUAUUUGAAAGUAGUAUCAUUAUAAAUAUAAUUAAUUAAGAUAAAGUCAUUAGAAUGGGCUCAAAUCCUACAUGAUUGGUGUCCUUAUAAAAAGGGAAGGUUUGGAGACACAAACACACAAAAGGAGAAUGCCAUGUGAAGAUGAAGGCAGAGAUCACAGCGAUGUUCUACAAGCCAAGGCACACACCAGAGAUCGUUAGCAAACCACAGGAAGAAAAAGAGAGGCAUAGAACAGAUUCUCCCUCCCAGCCCUCAGAAGGAACCAAGCGUGCUGCCACCUUGAUCUUGGGCAUUGAGCCUCUAAAACUGUGGGAGAGUAAGUUUCUAUUGUUUUAGCCACUCAGUCUGUGGUACUUUGUUACAGCAGCCCUAAAAAACGAAUGCAGCACAUUACCAGGAAAAUCGAGACAGUUGAAUUGGGGAAAGUUAAGAAACAUACAAAGUUACAAAAUUUUCUGAGUAUUACAGAAAGCUCCAUUUCCUUACUGCUUUUGAAAUACAAACUUAUUCCCUUUUAUGCAUAACGGUUUUACUGCCAAUAGCUACCCAAGAAAAGACCUGGAUGAUUAAACUGACAAUUACAGAGAUGUACAAAUGUUCCAGAAAUUUUUCAAAGUAGUUCUUUUAAAUUCCUGGAAUCUGGUCUCUUUUUGGAUAACAGAUGUUGUAGAACCUUCUAUAACUAUUCAUCUCUCUAUUUGUGUCCUCCUGGAGUGUAGCUCUUCAGUUCUGUCUUACAGGAAAAGCUAACAAUCACCACCUGGUGUCCCUUCCCCUCUUCUAGCAAGUGAAGCUAAUAGAUAUUCUGUAAAAGGAAAAAACAACGGCCGAGCAUGGUGGCGCAUUCCUGUAGUCCCAGCUACUCGGGAGGCUGAGUCAUGAGAAUUGCUUGCACCUGGGAGGUAGAGGUUGCACUGAGCCUAGAUCGCGCCAGCCUGGGCAACAGAACGAGACUCUGUCUUCAUAGAUAGAUAGAUAGAUAGAUAGAUAGAUAGAUAGAUAGAUAGAUAGAUAGAUAGAUGGAUGAUAGAUAGAUAGAUAGAUAGAUAGAUAGAUAGAUAGAUAGAUAUAAAUGGAAAAGCAACAGUUGUGCCCAAUCUUCCACAAAUAACUUGCAACCAGGCAGAACAUAGAACCCAGGUCUUUUGAUGCCAGUCACAUCCAGCUGUCCUUCCAAGACAUUGUUUCUAUGCAGGUGUUGAGUCAGCAGGCCAGAUAAUUCCUCCCAACGUUUAUCUAAAUACAGGUGUUUUUUCUAAAAUGCAGGAAUGUGAAUUUGGAUAUAACAUUCGUCUUUGUGAGGUGUAAGUUUCUUCUUUUAAAAAAAAAUGCAUCUUUAUUUAGUCCUGACAUUUCAAACCAACAGAAUCAGCAUCAGUAUAGUGAAAGGUUAAAGUCCAGCUAUUGUCAGUUUCUACAUAUGUCAUAUUGGCCAAUUUACUUAACUUUAUUAUACUUCAUUUCCUCAUUUUUAAAAUGAGAAAUGGAGUGUUAUCUCUUUCACUGGGUCAUUACAGGGAUGAAAUGAAAUAACAUGUGGAAACAUGUUAUAAGCUCUAAAGUGGUGGAAAGAAGAUAAAAAUAAAGUAGUAAUGUCACAUCUGUGAUCUUACGGUCUCCUUUCCUAUCCCAUAUUGUAGAGGAUAAGCCACACUGAAUGUCCAUUCAGUUUACAUCAGACUUGUUUGGGAAAGUUACAGUUUGCGUGGGUAUAUCCAGAUCAUUAUGUUUUUACAAGCUUCACAGUCUGACCUAGCAUGAAAAUUAAGUACAUGAAAAGUAUUUCAGAGUCUUGUAGUUAAUGGACAAACUUAGAUAUCCCUAAUAGGUGCUUCUAAGCACUUAUCAAACUUUUUCUUACCUCUUACUCAUCUGGUUCCUUCACUACACUGUAAACACUUACGAAGGCAAGGUUAUAUUUUCAUCAUCCCUAUAUUCACAGCAUCA
rnacentral:lncRNA from 1 species